UACGGAGGGAGCUAGCGUUGUUCGGAAUUACUGGGCGUAAAGCGCACGUAGGCGGCUUUGUAAGUUAGAGGUGAAAGCCCGGGGCUCAACUCCGGAAUUGCCUUUAAGACUGCAUCGCUAGAAUUGUGGAGAGGUAAGUGGAAUUCCGAGUGUAGAGGUGAAAUUCGUAGAUAUUCGGAAGAACACCAGUGGCGAAGGCGACUUCCUGGCCUGUUCUUGACGCUGAGGCGGCGAAAAGCUAGGGGAG
rnacentral:rRNA from 1 species